AACGGGUGAGUAACACGUGAGUAACCUGCCUUACACAAGGGGAUAGCCUUUGGAAACGACAGCAAUAAUACCCUAUAAAGUCCAAAUAUCGCAUGAUAUAGGACCCAAGAUUUAUCGGUGUAAGAUGGACUUGCGUCUGAUUAGCUAGUUGGUGAGAUAAAAGCCCACCAAGGCGACGAUCAGUAGCCGGCUUGAGAGAGUGUACGGCCACAUUGGGACUGAGACACGGCCCAAACUCCUACGGGAGGCAGCAGUGGGGAAUUUUGCACAAUGGGGGAAACCCUGAUGCAGCGACGCCGCGUGAUUUAGAAGGCCUUCGGGUUGUAAAAAUCUUUUUUAUGGGAUGAAAAUGACAGUACCAUAAGAAUAAGGUCCGGCUAAAUACGUGCCAGCAGCCGCGGUAAUACGUAUGGACCGAGCGUUGUCCGGAAUCAUUGGGCGUAAAGGGUACGUAGGCGGCCUAGUAAGUUAGAAGUGAAAUAAUAUAGCUCAACUAUAUAAAGCUUUUAAAACUGUUAGGCUUGAGAGAUGAAAGGGAAAGUGGAAUUCCUAGUGUAGCGGUGAAAUGCGCAGAUAUUAGGAAGAAUACCGGUGGCGAAGGCGACUUUCUGGUCAUCAUCUGACGCUGAGGUACGAAAGCGUGGGUAGCAAACAGGAUUAGAUACCCUGGUAGUCCACGCUGUAAACGAUGAGUGUUAGGUUCUUGGAAUAAUCUGGGAGCCGCAGCUAACGCAUUAAACACUCCGCCUGGGGAGUACGCACGCAAGUGUG
rnacentral:rRNA from 1 species